rnacentral:rRNA from 1 species
GACGAACGCUGGCGGCGUGCUUAACACAUGCAAGUCGAACGGACAGACCCUGCGUUUGUUGGGUUCUCGAUUGGCGAACGGGUGAGUAACACGUGUGUAAACUGCCCUUGACUUUGGGAUAACUUCACGAGACUGGGGCUCAUACCGGAUAGGAGCUCCUGCUGCAUAGGGGGGGUUGGAAAGUUUCGGCGGUUGGGGAUGGUAUCGCGGCUUAUCAGCUUGUUGGUGGGGUAGGGGCUUACCAAGGCUUUGAAGGGUAGCCGGCCUGAGAGGGUUACCGGCCACAAUGGGCCUGAGAUAGGGACCAGACGCCUACGGGAGGCAGCAGUGGGGAAUAUUGCACAAUGGGCGGAAGCCUGAGGUAGCAACGCCGCGUGCGGGAUGACGGGCUUCGGGUUGUAAACCGCUGUGGACGGUGACGAAGCGGGAGUGACGGUAAUGGGUAAAGAAGCACCGGCUAACUACGUG